rnacentral:rRNA from 1 species
GGCUUCGGCCUGGUUAUUCAUAACCCUUUGUUGUCCGACUCUGUUGCCUCCGGGGCGACCCUGCCUUCGGGCGGGGGCUCCGGGUGGACACUUCAAACUCUUGCGUAACUUUGCAGUCUGAGUAAACUUAAUUAAUAAAUUAAAACUUUUAACAACGGAUCUCUUGGUUCUGGCAUCGAUGAAGAACGCAGCGAAAUGCGAUAAGUAAUGUGAAUUGCAGAAUUCAGUGAAUCAUCGAAUCUUUGAACGCACAUUGCGCCCCCUGGUAUUCCGGGGGGCAUGCCUGUUCGAGCGUCAUUUCACCACUCAAGCCUCGCUUGGUAUUGGGCAACGCGGUCCGCCGCGUGCCUCAAAUCGUCCGGCUGGGUCUUCUGUCCCCUAAGCGUUGUGGAAACUAUUCGCUAAAGGGUGUUCGGGAGGCUACGCCGUAAAACAACCCCAUUUCUAAGGUUGACCUCGGAUCAGGUAGGGAUACCCGCUGAACUUAAGCAUAUC